AUCCAGGUCAGCACUGCCUAUGUCCAGCUCAGGUCCCGUCCUUCCUGCCCUGUGCAUUAUAUGUAAAAAAAAAAAACCCUCAAAUUCGUCUUAAAGGGAGGCAAACGACAAAGGGAAGCUCUUUCAAAAGCUGAGACCUUAACAGCAGGCAAGUUGCAGACUGCUGCUGAGACUAAAGAUGACCACAGUAUUCUGGUACACAUUAAGGACAAAGACUGUGUGGCUCUGGAGGUGCAGUACCACAAGAGCUGCUACCAGCAGUACACCAGAUUUCUGAAUGAGCCUGCUAGACAAGAGAAGGACAAGUCAUUGCCUGGAUGCUGACCCCUGCCUUUUUGCACCAUGCCACAGGACUUAUAUAUAUAU